CAGAAUCUAAAAGAUACUUAAAACAUUAAAUUGAGGGAAAAAGUCACUGUGACAACAUGCCCCAAUGGUGAAACCUAUAAGGGGUGAGUUGUCACAGUGGAACAUUGGUAAUUUUCCAACAUAUUAUUAGGGCCUAAAUAAUACAUUGUGGUGUUUUUCUUCAAAAUAUUACGCUUAUUUAAAAUUUCACAGUUUGUAUAAUUCUUGAAACUUAAAUUGAAAAGACAGGAGCAUUAGGCUCCAAGUUCACUGCUUUCUUAAAGGGAUAGUCCACCCAAAAAUGAAAAUUCUCUCAUCAUUUACACACCCUUUUGCCAUCUGAUGACUUUCGUUCAUCAGAUGACCACAAUUUUUAAAAAGGUAUAUCAGGCAUUAAGUCAAUGGGUCCAAACACUUUUAAUGUCCAAAAGUCUUUAAAAGUUAAAGGAAACUACAACUUGCUUUGUUUCAUUAUAUCUUUAUCUAAAUAUCUUUGUUCUGCAUAUCUUUUCUCUUGCAGCUGAGAAGACUGAUCAAGAAACUCUCGUCCUUCUAGAUGACGUCACACUAACCUCUCUUAUCCCGGUUAUUGGACUUUGUCGAAUAUUCCAGAAGUACCUCGGGUGCUUGACAUAAGUGCAAGGCUUUAGGUGUAGAAGGCAUGGGUUACAUCUGCUUUAAAUGCAAAAGGUCUUUGGGACCUGAUAUCAGUGUUUUUUUUUGUUUUUUUUUGUACAUUUGAGAGUUUCACAUCAUGUAUUUUCUACAUUUAGUUACUUUCAGUGUGCUCAAGCUGGAUGUUAUCACUCAUUCAGAAAUAGUUUACUGAAAAUUUGAAGUUCCAGUUCUAACCAGGGAGAUAAAGUUAUAUUUUCUUUUAAAGGAAUCAAGAACAGUGCCUGAUCCUGGCACUGCUACCAGACAAGAACCCAUAAUACUAGCAAAAAAACAACAUGGCCCUGAGCACAGGAUAUCUGUGGAGCAAGCAGCAACAUUUGAAGCAUGGUUCAGUCCAGGUCAAAGUCACAGAUCUGCCACAGGCUUCCUUGAGGAGCAUCUUCAGAAUGUACGGAAAAGGCUCCACAGAGGAAGACAGACUCCUGGUUUAUCAGAUUAAUUUAGAGAAAGCACCAGAUUGGUUUUGCCAGACAAACAGAGUGACAUCGCUUUACUGGUCCUUCCUAUGGUGCUUCCAACGUCUGUCUACAAGAUUGGAAGGAAAAUGUUUAGACCAAGUUUCAUAGAAACCAGGAAGGCCUUCAUAGACAUACAGCCUAUUGGUACCAAUAUGGCUGAGUACCUGCGACUUGCGAAAAACACCACCGAAUUUCCAUAUGUCCUGAUGCUUGGAGACAACAACCAGUGCUUUCAAGCCUUUGUUGUUAUAAACGGAGAAGCACUUGAGCAAAACACAUUGCUGGCAGCAGAUGUUUGCUUUAAGGCAUUCUACACCUUAGAUGUCAAUUUCCCCAAACCGUGUUCCCCAGUGUGGGAAUUUUUACAGAUUGUGGUGUAUGGACUUCCUGGAUACGAAUCCCCCGCUAUAAGGAUUCUGCGAGCAUAUAUUUCUCAUACAUCUGUCUAAACUUCUUAUACUGCUGUAGAUGUUCGCAUUUAAUGCAUUCUACACAUCCGGUAUCAAUUUUUCAAAACAGUGUUUUCAUCCUAAUCAUUUAAUUUUUAUUUUUUGUAUGUUGAUUGAGUUUUGUCAGUGCAGAGCCAGGGUCAAGGGCAAAAAAACUGUUAUGAAUUGUUUAAGAAUUCAUAUUUUUCCUAUAACUACAAAAAAUUUAUUAUUUUGACUGUGUUUUCCUGUGCUUGUUGCUCAGCUUGUAGUGCAUUAUAUUAGAAAGAUUGGUUGAAGUUAAUUUUUUAUCCUUCGUAAUUGCACUUAAUUUGCACAAACUCGUGCACACACACUGAAAACUGUUUUUAGUUGUGCAUAUUGUGUACAUUUCAGGGUGUUCUCGUCAAUAACUCUUUACCAUUUUAUUAUUAUAUGUUGCUUCUCAGGUAAAUGUAUCAUGUCUCAAGGAUUUUUAGAUAUUUUAAAAUAUUUAAAUAUUUAAUAUGCAAACUCAUUAAGAGUGAGAAAGUCAUAGCAGGUUUUCCAGAUGUAUAAUUUAGAUGUAUAAUAUAGAUUUGUUUGUUGCAUUUAAAGCUUUUUGUUGUAUUUAAACCUUUAUUUAAGUGUCUAAGCUUAAAGUAACCCUUUCAAAGGAUUUCUUUUAGGAAAAUGUAGAAAAUUGUACCAAACAAUAGUUUGCAUCCCUGAUAUUAUAUAUUCAACAUUUUCUGAAUAAAACUUUUUCUUCU